rnacentral:lncRNA from 1 species
UUAAGAACAGCACUUCAAGUGUGAAAAUCUGUCUUGGUGACCAAGUGUUCUUCCUAUGAGGUAGCCUGUGCAUCAUGUGGCUCCUUAGCUCUUGGUGUGCAAACAUGGGGCCAUAUUGAAGAUUGUUGACGCUGUAGGAUGGAACUUUAAAUAGGUUUUUGGUCUAUGUAUUGAUUUUUCUUUGUCUUCAAACAAGUAGUUAAAAAUAUAUAUGGUUAUAAGUGCAAGAAAUCAGAGAGGUCAUGGGCAGUAAACCAGGUUCAUGAAUAAUUGUACAUAUGUUUACAAUAUAUGAGAGGGUGGAAGUGAGACGAUUCACUUGUAUCUGAAACAUUUUAUUUCUUGUUUUCAAAAAAAAGUUUGUAAAAAGGUAGGAAAAUAUUAAAAACUAAGCUUGUUAAAUAUAGGUGAUUGGAUAUAUGUGGUUUUUUUUAAGUCUG